AUGCCGCCCACACCACACACACCCCCCCCCCCCACACACACACACGCAGGGCCCUACACAUCGGCCACACACCACCCACCCCCACCACUCCCUCCCCGCCCCCCCCCCCCCCCACACACACUGCGUUGUCCUUUGCCUGGCUGUGUCUCUCGGCCUCUCUGUCCCCGCACCCACAGGCGGACGCCACACGCACACACCCAUGCCGCCCACACCACACACACAGCCCGCCCACACACACGCAGGGCCCUUCACACCGGCCACACACCACCCACCCCCACCACCCCCUCCCCGCCCCCCCAACACACACACUGCGUUGUCCUUUGCCUGGCUGUGUCUUCUCGGCCUCUGUCUCUGCCCCCGCACCCACAGGCGGAUGCCACACGCACACACCCAUGCCGCCCACACGGCCCCCCGUGGCAGCUAUACACAACACACUCACACCACACACCUACCCCCUCCCCCCAUACACACACACACACCCCCACCCCCACACGGCGUGCACACACGCAUCCCCCCCCCCCACACACACAGCCCAUAAACACCCCGCCCCCCACACGCACACCCCCUCCCCCACACCACACACACACACACACACACACACACACACACACACUGCGUUGUCCUUUGCCUGGCUGUGACGCUCUGCCUCUGUCUCUGCCCACACACCACAUGCAUGCCCACACGCACGCGCGGGCACACACACACACACUCUCACACCCCGCCCCGCCACCCCCGCACCACACACACCUCCCCCGCCCCGCCCCCCCCCCCCCCCCACACACACACACUUUGUUGUCCUUUGCCUGGCUGUGUCUCUCGGCCUCUGUCUCUGCCCCUGCACCCACAGGCGCACGCCACACACACACACACACACCCAUGCCGCCCACACCACACACACACCCCGCCCACACGCAGGGCCCUUCACACCACACCCACACACCCACACACACACAGCGUUGUCCUUUGCCUGGCUGUCUCUCUCGGCCUCUGUCUCUGCCGACCCGCACCCACAGGCGCACCCCACACGCACACACCCAUGCGGCCCACACGCGCCCUCGUGGCACCUAUACACAACAAACCCACACCACACACGAACCACCCCCCCCCCACCCCAACACACUCACACGGCCACACACACCACCCACGCACUACCACCUGAGCAUGCCACAACGCCACACACUGCCUCGCCCUCCCCCCCCAACACACAGACACCCGGCCCACACCACACACAUACGCACACACACACACACACACAGCGUUGUCCUUUGCCUGGAUGUGACGCUCUGCCUCUGCCCACACACCACAUGCAUGCCCACACGCACGCGCGCGCGCACACACACACACACUCUCACACCCCGCCCCGCCACCCCCACACCACACACACCUCCCCCCCACCUGGCCACACACACACACACCUCCCCCCCCGGCCCCCCCCCCCCCCCCACACACACACUUUGUUGUCCUUUGCCUGGCUGUGUCUCUUGGCCUCUGUCUCUGACCCCGCCCCCCCAGACCCGCAUCCACAGGCGCACGCCACACGCACACACCCAUGCCGCCCACACCACACACACAGCCCGCCCACACACACGCAGGGCCCUUCACACCGGCCACACACCACCCACCCCCACCACCCCCUCCCCGCCCCCCCAACCCACCCCCACCACCCCCUCCCCGCCCCCCCAACACACACACUGCGUUGUCCUUUGCCUGGCUGUGUCUCUCGGCCUCUGUCUCUGCCCCCGCACCCACAGGCGGACGCCACACGCACACACCCAUGCCGCCCACACGGCCCCCCGUGGCAGCUAUACACAACACACUCACACCACACACCUACCCCCCCCCCCCCCCAUACACACACACACACACACACACACACGGCCGCACACUCUCCACCCACGCAACACCACCUGGGCAUGUCACAGACACGCCACACAUGCCUCACCCCCCCCCCCACCCCGCCCCACUCUGUGUGUUCCUGUCCCCUCUUUUUCUCCUUCCUUCCUCUGUCGUCGUCCCUCUGCCUCUCGCUCCCCUCCCUCCACCUUCACAGGACAGAGUGCCUUUAAGAUGAGUCUGCCUGUUUUAAACACACCCUGGACAUGA
rnacentral:lncRNA from 1 species